rnacentral:lncRNA from 1 species
GCGCAUGUGGGUUGAGGGGAGAUAUUGGGCUGCUGCUCAGCUACGGCUCUGUGCUGCAUGCUGGGCUUUGAGGGAGGGAGAACCCAGGUAAGCUCUCUCUCCUAGAAAAGUCCAUCCAUCUUUUAUUUAAAAUAGAAAAUUGCAAAACCUCUCAUAGAAAAUAGAGAAAUGUUGUGGGCAAAAGAAAAAUAUGUUUUAGCUCACAAAAAUAAGAGAUAUUUAACAAAAUUGGUUGGAUAUUUUUAGAGACUGAAAAUUAAAUGCCGUUUUUAUUACCAUUUGGAACUGUUUUUGUAGGUUUAUAAAUAGCGAGAAAAAAUAAACAC